rnacentral:rRNA from 1 species
UGGGGAAUAUUGGACAAUGGGCGCAAGCCUGAUCCAGCCAUGCCGCGUGAGUGACGAAGGCCUUAGGGUUGUAAAGCUCUUUUGGCGGGGAAGAUAAUGACGGUACCCGCAGAAUAAGCUCCGGCUAACUUCGUGCCAGCAGCCGCGGUAAUACGAAGGGAGCUAGCGUUGUUCGGAAUCACUGGGCGUAAAGCGCACGUAGGUGGGCAGUUAAGUCAGGGGUGAAAGCCCGAGGCUCAACCUCGGAAUUGCCUCUGAUACUGGCUGUCUAGAGUUCGAGAGAGGUGAGUGGAAUUCCUAGUGUAGAGGUGAAAUUCGUAGAUAUUAGGAAGAACACCGGUGGCGAAGGCGGCUCACUGGCUCGAUACUGACACUGAGGCGCGAAGGCGUGGGGAGCAAACAGGAUUAGAUACCCCCGUAGUCCCUGAGCGGGCUGGCAAGGCGCAU